AAGCAAAUCACUACAACAGAAGAGGUGCUGAAUAUCUUCCUCUUCCACUUCACAAAAGUCACAUAAAGUAUCCACCGGUACCCCUCUGUGGUGUAAAUUACCCUUAACUGUAUAGUUUGUCGUUCCCACCUCCGGCCGCCGUGGAGGUUCUCAAUUUGAAUCAUCGUCGUGGAUUCCCGAUAUUUUUCUCAUAGAAUUCAGGCGAUUUAUUUACAACAGGGAGACUGAUAGGAAUAGAGGGCUUAUAUUAGUAACAACAGGGAAAGCAUCAAAGCAGUGGGAUUGUUCUUAAAUUUAAAAAAUUAAUCAGUCAUCAAAAAGCUUUCUCAAUCAAUUAUACACCAUCUUCCUAUUUGCUCAGUACAAAUUUUCGGACGAUCAAGCUCAACUGCAAACAAGGGCAUCAUGUCAAGCUCAAGUGCUAAAGUUACGGAUUCAUAACUCAAACAAGGGCAUCAUAUCAAGCUUGGUUGUUACUCAAUAUUUUUGGCUACUUGAAGAGAAUCCGGAUAUUGUUUCAGACUUUCAGCAAUAAGAAGCAAGUUGUAUAUUAUGACUAUUAAGAACAAGAAAGCUUCAGUGCAUGAAUAGCUACAAUCUGAGAAGGCCAAGACAGUUGAUCAAAGUAAGAAGAGAUAUGGAUUUUCAUCAUCUAAUACCAGUAAUGAUAAUCAAAUUAAAUGAUGAGGCGGAAGAAUGGGCAUGGAUUCCGAUAAAACAACUCCAUUCUCCGGCAAUCUACGGAAAUACCAAGCUAGCUUAAUCACUCGAAAAUCAUUUUUGUUCAUGUAAUUGAACUUCAGUUUAAGUUACCUCUGAUUUCUGCAUCUUUGAGGUUACUCCUGUUAUAUGGAUGAUCAGUCUUGGACUACUGCCAAUCCUUUGGAUUAUCUCUGGCUGAUGCCUUAAAGCAUAUGGUCUUUGAGUAUCGGGUUGCUCCUUAAAGCUUGUGGUCUUCAUGGUACUUUCAUUAAAAUAGUUCUCAUCUCACUCCUAAAGUCCUAAUGUUGUUGUUAGUGGAUCUUGAGUAUUCUACUUGAAGAUGAAGGGAGAUUAUCAUCGUUAUAUUGCCGAGUUUAAAUCUGGUGAUGAAAGGAAAACUGCUGCUGAAGAUACUAUGAAUGCUUACAAAGCUACUCAGGAGUAGCAUGAGUGUGUCCAGUCGUCCAGCAUUACACUUCCCAAGCAAAACUGAUUUAUAUGUAUACUAGAUACUAGGUACUAGAUACCAAUCAUGAACAAGCCACCCACGGAAGCGCUAAAGAUCAUCGAAGAUGUAGUUCAAAACUACACCGAUUGGAGUCCCGACUAGAGGAGCAUCUCCAAGAAGGGAGGAAAGUAUGAGGUAAAUGCUAUAAAUAUGAUUAAUUCAAAAUUAGAUGCUUUGUCUUCUAAGUUUGAUCAAUUGCAAUCCUCUUCUCUAUCCCCUUCUCCAAAUCAAAAUUCACAUGCAUCUAGUUCAUCUAAUGAAAAUAUGUCAAUACAAAUGAUGUCUUGUGAUACUUGUGGAAGUGAUGAUCAUGUGACUUCCGAAUGUUAUUUGCUAAAUGAUUCAUGCUCCCCCUCACCUUUCAUAGAACAAGUAAAUGCAAUCAACAAUGGUCAACACAAUCCUAGGUAUGACCUUUAUUCCAACACUUAUAAUGAGGGAUGAAAACAUCACCUAAACUUUGGUUGGAAAGGGGAUCAAACCCAAGGAAAUGGUCAAGGUCAAUAUAGUGGCCAAAGAAAUGUUCAAAAUAACAACCAAGGAAAUUAUAAGAAUCAAGGUAAUAGUAACUAUGUGUCAAAUAACCAAGUGAACCAUCAAAAUGACAAUAGGUACCAUCAAAGGGGUCAAUAUUCUUCUAAUAAUAACCCACCUGAUUUAAAUGGAGGAAAUAUACCAACCCUUGCUCCUAUUCCUCAACCCCCUCUCCAAAUUCAAGCUCCCCCUCCUAAGUCGAGUCUAGAAACCACAAUGGCAAAAUUUGUUAAUAUGCAAACAAAGAAAACCAAUGACUUAGAGGAGAGUAUCAAGCAAGUGCAACCCCCACAAUAAGAUGCUAGAAACUCAACUAGUUAAUGUACUUAAAAGUAACAAUCCUAGCACCUCUUUGCCUAGUCAAGCUAUUGAUCCUUGAGAACAUUGCAAUGCAAUUAUGACUAGAUGUGGGACUAGCAUAGAUGAAACUCCACCUAUGAGUUUGCAAAAAGAGAAUGAGAGUGAGGAGGUUAAGGAAGAGAAACAAUGUGAGGUAUCUAAGUCAAGUGAGGAUGAGAUGGUUGUCAUGACUGAAUCCACCAUGGUGAGCUUAACCGAAAAUUGUAGUGCGAUCAUCAAGAACCAUUCAUCCACUAAAUUAAAAGAUCUCGGAAGUUUCUCUAUUCCUUGCUCUAUUAAGAACAUUUCCUUUGAAAAUGCCUUAUGUGAUCUAGGAGCUAGUGCGAGUUUGAUGCCUCUUUGGGUUUAUGAGAAGCUUGGUAUAGGUGGUUUGGUACCCACCAAUGUCACUCUUCAACUUGUCGAUCGAUCUAACAAAUUCCUUAAGGGUAAGGUUGAGGGGUAAAUUUCUAAAAUGAGAGUGAAAUAUGUGCGUGAAAUGUGUUGUAAGUGUCGUGAGUGAGUGUUGUGAGUAUUUAAAUACGAGGGGUAAAUACGGAAUUUCAAAGAAAAAAUGCGAACGACACCCAGUAAAUUGGGAGCGCGUUUAAUAACCCCCAAAAAUGAAUCUAUUACAUCUAUUAGAUUUCUUUGUUUCUUUAGAUUUCAUAUCUGCCACGUGGUGUCAUGUUUAAAUGCUUUCAAAAAUGAAUAUGCUAGACAUAUAAAGUAGAAAAUUAAUAUAAAAAUUGCUAACAGAGUUUUAGUUACAACAAGAUCAUAAAUGUGUCUAACAUGAGAAGGGGGUUAUUGAAAUGUUAAGGAUUACAAAGAUCUUUAUAAUAUCCUUCGCCACAUCCGCGGAUUAGUUUAAGUUGUGAAUCUUAAAACCUUGCUACAAAUGUUCUAUUAAGUUCAAGCUAACUUACACGGUUACGCGUCAGAGUAUUAUCAAUAAUUCCAAGUGAUUCAUACAGUGCUUUCAUCAUAUCCGGAUAAUAGUUGUCGUAAUACUCAAUCAUUUGAACCUUGUUUUGAAAAGGUACUCCAGCCUGCAAAAGAGUACAAGGUAGAUAUUUUUCAGCAAAUCAUGGUCUAAUUACAUAAUCAGAUACUUAUGUAAUAGUGAAACAUACCCUGCACAGGUGCGAGAAAAAUGUGAGAAAGUGUAUGACAAAAACUUGUUUGAAUAGCGAUUUCGUCACUUGGAUUCGCUCUUUGUGUUGGUGGCGAUUUAACAAAAGUACUCAGAUUUGGAUCAUUUGACAACUUAGCCCGCCAAUUCCGUAAAAUCUGUGCAUGAGCCGGGUUUUUUCCAACAACAUUCUUCGCGCAAUCGACCAGCUCUCCAAGUUUGGUAAUGCUAUAAAUUCUAGUUUGUUUUGUCCAAAAUCUAGGCGAGUACAGAAAUUUUGCUAUUGAACUAGCCAAUGGUUUAAAAAAAAUAAAUCACAGGUAAUUUUAUGCGCAUUAAUUUCAUAACAUAACAAAAUGAAUCAUUAUAACAUUUCACAAAUUAGGCUAUCAUUUUCUUUUACAUAAAAUAAAUUCAUUAUGGUUAUUAUUUAAUAUACGAAAAUAUUAAAAACACAGAACAUAUUCAAUUUUCUUAAAGGGUAAAAAUAUGUAAAUAUCAAAAGUCAAUACCAAUGUCAAUGUCAGUUACAGUUACGCCUGAAAAAUUGAUACAUAUCUCUUUUGUGUGCGUCACUAAAUAGUUUACAAGCUUCGCUAAUUGAAAAAGUCCCUAUAAUUUCAUAAUCUCUCUUCCCUUGUGGUCUCUAGGCUCACUAUAUAGCCUCAUCCUUUAUUUUUUUUUUACUUUUUUUUUACGGAAAUCAUCCUACAUUUACUUUGCUUUAAAAAAAUUAUUACAUUUUCAAACAUGGGAUGUUAGGUGUGUGGGAUGUUUGGGGUGAGAAUGAGAGUUUUAGUCCUAAAGUAUUUUAAGCAAUUACGGAUAUGAUAAUAUGUAUACACAUUACCCUAUUAAAGAGUAAUGAGUCUAAUGACUAUUAUCUUUAAAUUUUUUUUUUUAAAUAAAAAUCAAUUUAAACUAUGGGGUGGGCCUAGUUUUUAAAAUGAUAAUUCACUUGUUAUCACAUCAAAAGGAGUAAAUUAAAUACGAAUGAUGCAAUGAACUUUGAAAAAUAAUACUUUGUAAAAGUAUUAAAGUUUACCCCAUAGCAAGAUUUUCUGUUAAAGUGCGAGUUAUCAGCUUAGUUUCAUCAUUGUUGAUGAGUUGACAAUCUAUCCAAAUUUGAUCUAGUAACCUUCUCAAAUCCGUCCAAGUCUUUUUUCCACCAUCUACACACUCACAAAUAAAUUAGCAUAUUUGAUAAAUGGAUUACAACACUUAAUUAAAUAGAAAAGUGAGGUUAAUGAGUUACACCAAUGCAAUUACCUUGUAUAAUUGAUUCUGCAACCGCUAACACACGAUAAGGCUUAUCGUUGCUUAUAUAGAUGCUAUUCUUGUCCAAAAAUAACUUGAUUCUAGAGGAAUAACCAUGCAUGACAAUCAACCUCAAAUCUCUACAUAUGUUAUUGAUAAAAUGUUAAUAAGAUAAUAAAAAUUGAAGGAAAUCAUUUGAAAAAGUGAGUUUACAAAAAGUAAUACUUACUGGAUAAUUAAUUUUAACAUAUCGGUCAUUUGAAUAGGGAUUCCAUUAUAAUCGAAGAUACACCAAGCUAGAGCGAUUAUUGUUUAUCCAAGUGGCUAAGGUUGUUCUAGAAAUGUGGUAAGCUAAAACAUAUUUUGUCCCAGCUACAACCAGAAGAAAACAAUCCACAAACCCAGAAUGAGCGUUUUUGCGAAUAAGUUCAAAUAUCUUAUUGGCCGUAACUGGUUCAUGUUCAACCAUGUAAAAUCUCAGAUAAGAAGUAUUAUUGUCCAUAACUACACUGCCGAAGUACUCACCAGUAAACUUCAUUUUUUCCUUAACAAAACAAAAUUUUCAUUACGUUAUUAUUGGUCUUCAUGUUUUAUAGAAUACCAUAAAUAGAAAUAUUAGAUUAAACAAUAAAUAUUUUUUCAACUCAAAACUUAAAACCGUAACAAUUCGGGGUUUAGGAUUAGUGACAAGUUUAGGACGAUGGAUGACGACAACGUUGAUUGUUACGCUUUUAAGUUUUGAGUUAAAAAACUAUUUAUUGUUUAAUCUAAUAUUUCUAUUUAUGGUAUUCUAUAAAACAUGAAGACCAAUAAUAACAUAAUGAAAAUUUUGUUUUGUUAAGGGAAAAAUGAAGUUUACUGGUGAGUACUUCGGCAGUGUAGUUAUGGACAACAAUACUUCUUAUCCGAGCUUUUACAUGGUUGAACAUGAACCAGUUACGGACAAUAACAUAUUUGAAGUUAUUCACAAAAACGCUCAUUCUGGGUUUGCGGAUUGUUUUCCUCCGGUUGUAGCUGGAACAAAAUAUGUUUUAACUCACCGCACUUCUAUAACAACCUUAGCCACUUGGAUAAACAAUAGUCGCUCUAGCUUGGUGUAUCUUGAUUAUAGUGGAAUCCCUAUUCAAAUGAUAGAUAUGUUAAAAUUAUUUACCCCGUAAGUAUUACUUUUUGUAAACUCACUUUUUGAAAUGAUUUCCUUCAUAUCUUAUUAUCUUAUUAACAUUUUACUAAUAACAUAUUUAGAGAUUUGGGGUUGAUUUUCAUGCAUGGUUAUUCCUCUGGAAUCAAGUUAUUUUUGGACAAGAAUAUCAUCUAUAUAACCAACGAUAAGCCUUAUCGUGUGUUAGCGGUUGCAGAAUCAAUUAUACAAGGUAAUUUGCAUUGGUGUAACUCAUUAACCUCGCUUUUCUAUUUAAUUAAGUGUUGUAAUCCAUUUAUCAAAUAUGCUAAUUUAUUUGUGGGUGUGUAGAUGGUGGAAAGAAGACUUGGACGGAUUUGAGAAGGUUACUGGAUCAAAUUUGGAUAGAUUGUCAACUCAUUAACAAUGAUGAAACUAAGCUGAUAACUCGCACUUUAACAGAAAAUCUUGCUAUGGUGCAAACUUUAAUACUUUUACAAAGUAUUAUAUUUCAAAGUUCAUUGCAUCAUUCGUAUUUAAUUUACUCCUUUUGAUGUGAUAACAAGUGAAUUAUCAUUUUAAAAACUUGGCACACCCCAUAGUUUAAAUUGAUUUUCAUUAAAAAAAAAUUAAAGAUAAUAGUCAUUAGACUCAUUACUCUUUAAUAGGGAAAUGUGUAUACAUAUUAUCAUAUCCGUAAUUGCUUAAAAUACUUUAGGACUAAAACUCAUUCUCACCCCAAACAUCCCACACACCUAACAUCCCAUGUUUGAAAAUGUAAUAAUCUUUUUAAAGCAAAGUAAAUGUAGGAUGAUUUGCUA